rnacentral:rRNA from 1 species
CCUACGGGUGGCAGCAGUGGGGAAUAUUGGGCAAUGGGCGCAAGCCUGACCCAGCAACGCCGCGUGAAGGAAGAAGGCUUUCGGGUUGUAAACUUCUUUUCUCAGGGACGAAGCAAGUGACGGUACCUGAGGAAUAAGCUACGGCUAACUACGUGCCAGCAGCCGCGGUAAUACGUAGGUGGCAAGCGUUAUCCGGAUGUACUGGGUGUAAAGGGCGUGUAGGCGGGGCGGCAAGUCAGAUGUGAAAACCACGGGCUCAACCUGGGACCUGCAUUUGAAACUGUGUUUCUUGAGUACUGGAGAGGCAGAUAGAAUUCCGAGUGUAGCGGUGAAAUGCGUAGAGAUUAGGAGGAACACCAGUGGCGAAGGCGGUCUGCUGGAC